rnacentral:rRNA from 1 species
CCUACGGGAGGCAGCAGUGGGGGAUAUUGCACAAUGGGGGGAACCCUGAUGCAGCGACGCCGCGUGGGUGAAGAAGCGCCUCGGCGCGUAAAGCUCUGUCAGCAGGGAAGAAAAUGACGGUACCUGAAGUAGAAGCCCCGGCCAACUACGUGCCAGACGCCGCGGUAAAACGGAGGGGGCAAGCGUUAUCCGGAUUUACUGGGUGUAAGGGGGGCGCAGACGGCGAUGCAAGCCAGGAGUGAAAGCCCGGGGCCCAACCCCGGGACUGCUCUUGGAACUGCGUGGCUGGAGUGCAGGAGGGGCAGGCGGAAUUCCUGGUGUAGCGGUGAAAUGCGUAGAUAUCAGGAGGAACACCAGUGGCGAAGGCGGCCUGCUGGACUGCAACUGACGUUGAGGCCCGAAAGCGUGGGGAGCAAACAGGAUUAGAUACCCGUGUAGUC